AUGCGCGGAGUAGCCCGGCCUUACCUUCGCUCAGCGCAGUCGGACCGUGCCCGCAGCGCAUCCCGCCGAGCAGAGCACCGAGCGCUCGGUACCGCCGGGACGGCUCGGCCCGCACGGCCCCGCAACGCAGCGGGAUCGCAGCGGACUCCCGGCCUCCUCCCUCCGGCCUCGCACCUGCCGUACCGCGUGCUCCUCGCCGCGUCCCCGCGGAGCGCUGCUCCGCCCCGCCCACGUGCGGCGCCGAUAAGCGCUGGGCGGUGGGAUGGCUCCUUGCACGACCCCGCCGGCCGUCGCUUCACCUCGGAGCCGUCCUUCCGCCCCGGGUUCCCCCCGUUCCUGGUGCGGGCGGCGCGGCCCCUUGGCCCGACCCGGCCGCGCUCCCUCCGCCGGGCGGGGCCCUGUUGCCCUAUCGCAGCUGCCGCUCGAGCCGCCUCCCCUCGUGCUGCGGCCCCGAACCCGACCCCGGGCGCGCCGAGGCGGGGCGGGGUCGUCCUUUCGGGCCGGCGGUCGAGCUGCCCGGUGCCUCGUGGUAGCCGUUACCCCGGGGGGGAAGGAGAGGGGGGAGGGUCGUGCCGCGUCGAGCCCCGGAGCGGCGUCCGUGUGCCCGGCCGGGGCGAAACUCCCCGGGGGAGGGGCGGGGUCCGGCACCGCGAGCGGCCGCGCGGCGUCUCCGCGUGUCCCGACGCCGUCGCGUCCCACCCGGUCGCUCCCUCCGCCCCGGCCCCGCAGCGCCCGGCGGGAUCGCACCUGCACGCGGCACAGACACAGACACAGACACAGACACAGACACAGACACAGACACAGACACAGACACAGACACACCGCCGCCUCCCGAAGGCGUCGCACGAACGGGGCAAACGGGAGCGAUCGGCGGCCCGGGCCGCGGUGCCGAAAGGGGCUCAGAGCCGGCCGGCCCCGGGACGAGCACUGGAACACGCAGCGGGCGGUGAUGGCAGAGUAUAUGCUGUUUAUUAUGAAUGUAACCAGGACUAUCCGACAAAACUGUAUAUGCGGUCCCCUCCCGAAUUAUAA
rnacentral:lncRNA from 1 species